UCAGGUAACUGGGGUAGGGAAAUUUACUGAAUUGGGAAGGCUCAGGGCUAGCGCCGAUUCAAAAGACACGGAGAAACGGAAGAAUAAAACCCACUUGCAGGUGCUUUUAAAGGAGGUUGCUACCUUCAUGGGUGCUGUCGGAUUCAUGGUUGCUGCCAUUGUUGCAUAUGUUGUUUGGAUCAGAGGCUUCUUUACUGGUGAUAGUUCAAAUGGAAGUAGUGAACCUGGAAGUACACUUGAAGAAGCCAUUC